CAGUAGCCGCGGUAAUACGAAGGGUGCAAGCGUUACUCGGAAUUACUGGGCGUAAAGCGUGCGUAGGUGGUGGUUUAAGUCCGUUGUGAAAGCCCUGGGCUCAACCUGGGAAUUGCAGUGGAUACUGGGUCACUAGAGUGUGGUAGAGGAUAGUGGAAUUUCCGGUGUAGCAGUGAAAUGCGUAGAGAUCGGAAGGAACAUCUGUGGCGAAGGCGACUAUCUGGGCCAACACUGACACUGAGGCACGAAAGCGUGGGGAGCAAACAGGAUUAGAUACCCCUGUAGUCCCUGUCUCUUAUAU
rnacentral:rRNA from 1 species